UUUAACUGAGCGUUCAGUUACUUGACGUAGACCCGAAACCGGGCGACCUACCCAUGAGCAGGAUGAAGCGAAAGUAAAAUUUCGUGGAGGUCCGAACCCACGAGCGUUGAAAAGCUCGGGGAUGACUUGUGGGUAGCGGUGAAAUUCCAAUCGAGCCCGGAGAUAGCUGGUUCUCCCCGAAAUAGCUUUAGGGCUAGCCUCAAGGUGAGAGAUACGGAGGUAGAGCACUGAAUGUCCUAGGGGGUAUUGCACCUACCGAAGACUAUCAAACUCCGAAUGCCGUCAUCUUAUACUUGGGAGUCAGACUGUGGGUGAUAAGAUUCAUAGUCGAAAGGGCAACAGCCCAGAUCGUCAGCUAAGGUCCCUAAAUGUAAGUUAAGUGGUAAAGGAUGUGGGAUUGCACAGACAACCAGGAUGUUGGCUUAGAAGCAGCCACUCAUUCAAAGAGUGCGUAAUAGCUCACUGGUCGAGUGAUCCUGCGCCGAAGAUUUCCGGGGCUAAAACUUACUACCGAAGCUACGGCAUCAGUAAUGAUGGGUAGGGGAGCUUCCCAUACGGGUUGAAGCAUGACCGUAAGGACAUGUGGACAGUAUGGGAGUGAG
rnacentral:rRNA from 1 species